ACGGAAGGCAGCAGUGGGGAAUAUUGGGCAAUGGGGGGAACCCUGACCCAGCAACGCCGCGUGGAGGAAGAAGGUCUUCGGAUCGUAAACUCCUGUCCUAAGGGAAGAGUAGAAGACUGUACCUUAGGAGGAAGCCCCGGCUAACUACGUGCCAGCAGCCGCGGUAAUACGUAGGGGGCAAGCGUUGUCCGGAAUGAUUGGGCGUAAAGGGCGCGUAGGCGGCCCGGUAAGUCUGGAGUGAAAGUCCUGCCUUCAAGGUGGGAAUUGCUUUGGAUACUGUCGGGCUUGAGUGCAGGAGAGGUUAGUGGAAUUCCCAGUGUAGCGGUGAAAUGCGUAGAUAUUAGGAGGAACACCAGUGGCGAAGGCGGCUUACUGGACGAUAACUGACGCUGAGGCUCGAAAGCGUGGGGAGCAAACAGGAUUAGAUACCCUGGUA
rnacentral:rRNA from 1 species